GCCAGUGGGGGGCUUAACAUGCAGUCGAACGAUGAACCACUUCGGUGGGGAUUAGUGGCGAACGGGUGAGUAACACGUGGGCAAUCUGCCCUUCACUCUGGGACAAGCCCUGGAAACGGGGUCUAAUACCGGAUAACACUCCCUCUCUCAUGGGUGGGGGUUAAAAGCUCCGGCGGUGAAGGAUGAGCCCGCGGCCUAUCAGCUUGUUGGUGAGGUAAUGGCUCACCAAGGCGACGACGGGUAGCCGGCCUGAGAGGGCGACCGGCCACACUGGGACUGAGACACGGCCCAGACUCCUACGGGAGGCAGCAGUGGGGAAUAUUGCACAAUGGGCGAAAGCCUGAUGCAGCGACGCCGCGUGAGGGAUGACGGCCUUCGGGUUGUAAACCUCUUUCAGCAGGGAAGAAGCGAAAGUGACGGUACCUGCAGAAGAAGCGCCGGCUAACUACGUGCCAGCAGCCGCGGUAAUACGUAGGGCGCAAGCGUUGUCCGGAAUUAUUGGGCGUAAAGAGCUCGUAGGCGGCUUGUCACGUCGGGUGUGAAAGCCCGGGGCUUAACCCCGGGUCUGCAUUCGAUACGGGCUAGCUAGAGUGUGGUAGGGGAGAUCGGAAUUCCUGGUGUAGCGGUGAAAUGCGCAGAUAUCAGGAGGAACACCGGUGGCGAAGGCGGAUCUCUGGGCCAUUACUGACGCUGAGGAGCGAAAGCGUGGGGAGCGAACAGGAUUAGAUACCCUGGUAGUCCACGCCGUAAACGGUGGGAACUAGGUGUUGGCGACAUUCCACGUCGUCGGUGCCGCAGCUAACGCAUUAAGUUCCCCGCCUGGGGAGUACGGCCGCAAGGCUAAAACUCAAAGGAAUUGACGGGGGCCCGCACAAGCAGCGGAGCAUGUGGCUUAAUUCGACGCAACGCGAAGAACCUUACCAAGGCUUGACAUACACCGGAAAACCCUGGAGACAGGGUCCCCCUUGUGGUCGGUGUACAGGUGGUGCAUGGCUGUCGUCAGCUCGUGUCUUGAGAUGUUGCGUUAAGUCUCUCAACCAGCGAAACCAUUGUUCUGUGUUGCCAGCAUGCCCUUCGGGGGCGAUGGGGACUCACGAGGAUACCUCCUGGGGCUACCCGUAGCAACGAUGGGGAUGAUUUCAAUUAAUAUUUGGUCGUUAUUGUUCUGGUUACGAGUGGGGUUCUAUUCUCUCGCAUCAUAAGGAUCAUUCUAUCUCAGUG
rnacentral:rRNA from 1 species